rnacentral:tRNA from 1 species
UGGUAUGUCGUCCAAAGGUAGGACACCCGACUGUUAAUCGGUCAAUUCCGGUUCGAGUCCGGACAUUCCAGCCA